UACGUAGGGUGCAAGCGUUGUCCGGAAUUAUUGGGCGUAAAGAGCUUGUAGGCGGUUUGUCGCGUCUGCUGUGAAAUUUCGGGGCUCAACCCCGAACUUGCAGUGGGUACGGGCAGACUAGAGUGUGGUAGGGGAGACUGGAAUUCCUGGUGUAGCGGUGAAAUGCGCAGAUAUCAGGAGGAACACCGGUGGCGAAGGCGCCACUCUGGGCCGAAACUGACGCUGAGGAGCGAAAGCAUGGGUAGCAAACAGG
rnacentral:rRNA from 1 species